CCGCCUUCGAACUCUCUCCUCCUCUCAAACUCUCUCAAGCCCUCCAAACCCUAAUCAUCUCCCUCGUCUUCUCCGAUCAAUCUUCACCGGAGUCCAUGGCUUCUCAGGUUGUGGACAACCUGUGCUCACCUGCUUUAACCUCUAACCUGGUUGUUCAAGGUUUUAAGGUCCGACCUCAAUGAUCCUUGUUCAGAUCCACCGCCGAUUUGUGCUCUUAUGGCCUCUCCGGCUCUGUUCUGACGUGUUUAAGCCAUAAGAGCCUAGCUACGGCUAAGAUCUGUCCAAGACCAGACCUUUUCCAAGCCUUCUCAUUUUCUAGGAUUUCUAUGGAAUCAUAAAGUUAUUUCGAGGUUCCUUCUUCUCUUAUUUGAUUAUAUUUGUGAUGAAUCUGUGUUGUAUUCAAUAUUUUUAAGCUUUUCCCCAAUUUUUCUAUUUCAAAUUUAGCCUGUUUCAAUUUAGGGUUUUCUGAAAAUCUUAAAUUGACUUCUAUCACUUCUUCAUCUUUUUUCUUUGUGUGAAUAUAUCUGUAUAUGCCAUGUUCUUAGGAGUUUUUGCUUUUUUUCUUAUGUUCUUUCUUCACAUAUGCUUCUCCCGUGCUUUUGUGCUUGCCGCAUUAUGCAUGCUAUCCAUUCUUUAUUCUAAUAGUUUCUAUAGCAUCCUUUCACAUGUUUUUCUUAUAUGUUCAUGUACCCAUGUGUUCCUUUACUGUAUUUUUUCUACUAAGCUUCAGUUCUUUAUCGGCUCUCUUCUAAACUUUUUUAAGUUCCAAGCUUCUUAAAACAUGUUCUUGCUACUCUUACGAUGUUUCAAAUCAGUUCUAUUCGCCUUGAACUCUGCUAUUUGUUCAUUUUAUCAUGAGUCUCUGAGCCUGUUUCAAUUGUUAGCUUUUCUUCUCUGCAUCUUACUCAAGUCAAAAACCCUAAGAUUUGGCGAGGUUUUUGACAAGUUUGGAUCUUGUGUUUUGAACUAGGGUUAAUAUUUUCGAACUCUAGGCUUCUCAGAAUCGUCUGAGUCUUUGUACUCUUCUUUGACUCUAAACUUUUAUAUGCUGGGCUUUUCUAAUUAACGUGAAAAUUACCUCUUGUUUGACAUGCCUAUGUGCUUUAUAUAUGAGGAAUUUUUCUUUCAAAAAAGGGUUUUCCAACUCAUGAUUGGAUUCAGAAUCUCUUUGGGUUCUAAUUGAUUUUCAUUGAUUUUCCUCAAGUAAAACCCUCUCCUCACUUUUCCUAACAUGGUUCAUUCGAACAAAGCUUGCAAUUUUGAUUUUUGAUUGAUUCUAUUUCCUUAUUCUUACAAACCGUGUGUUUCAAAAA
rnacentral:lncRNA from 1 species